ACAAACUUGGUCAUUUAGAGGAAGUAAAAGUCGUAACAAGGUUUCCGUAGGUGAACCUGCGGAAGGAUCAUUAAUGAAUAAAAUUGGUUAAGUUGUUGCUGGCUCAACUUGGAGCAUGUGCACGCUUGAUCUAUAUUUCUUUCUAACCACCUGUGCACUGAUGUAGAAUUGGAAACAAUUUUUCAAGUAAUGACUGCAGUACUUGGAUUGAGAAUUGCCGAGUCAAUUGAAGGCCAGCUUUUCUCAUGUUUCACAUUCUAUGUUUUCAUAUAUACACCAAUAGCAUGUAUCAGACUAUUGUUUAAUUGAGCAUGUCCGCUCUAAAUCAAUUAUAACUUUCAACAACGGAUCUCUUGGCUCUCGCAUCGAUGAAGAACGCAGC
rnacentral:misc_RNA from 1 species